rnacentral:rRNA from 1 species
AAAAACUGAGGUGGUAUACGAUGGUUCCGCGUCUGAUUAGCUAGUUGGUGGGGUAAAAGCCUACCAAGGCAACGAUCAGUAGCCGGCCUGAGAGGGUGAACGGCCACAUUGGGACUGAGACACGGCCCAAACUCCUACGGGAGGCAGCAGUGGGGAAUAUUGCACAAUGGGGGAAACCCUGAUGCAGCGACGCCGCGUGAGUGAAGAAGUAUUUCGGUAUGUAAAGCUCUAUCAGCAGGGAAGAAAUACUGACCAUAGGGUCAGCAGACGGUACUUGACUAAGAAGCCCCGGCUAACUACGUGCCAGCAGCCGCGGUAAUACGUAGGGGGCAAGCGUUAUCCGGAUUUACUGGGUGUAAAGGGAGCGUAGACGGCAGCGCAAGUCUGAAGUGAAAUGCCAGGGCUUAACCCUGGAACUGCUUUGGAAACUGUGCAGCUAGAGUGCAGGAGAGGUAAGUGGAAUUUCUAGUGUAGCGGUGAAAUGCGUAGAUAUUAGGAGGAACACCAGUGGCGAAGGCGGCUUACUGGACUGUAACUGACGUUGAGGCUCGAAAGCGUGGGGAGCAAACAGGAUUAGAUACCCCGGUAGUCCACGCUGUAAACGAUGAUUACUAGGUGUUGGGGGACCAAGGUUCUUCG